CCUACGGGUGGCUGCAGUCGAGAAUCUUCGGCAAUGGACGAAAGUCUGACCGAGCGACGCCGCGUGCGGGAUGAAGGUCUUCGGAUUGUAAACCGCUGUCGAGGGGGAUUAAGGGCAACUUGAAAGAACCCUGGAGGAAGGGGAGGCUAAGCUCGUGCCAGCAGCCGCGGUAAGACGAGCUCCCCAAACGUUAUUCGGUAUCACUGGGCUUAAAGAGUUCGUAGGCGGCGAAGUAGGUGAGGUGUGAAAGCCCUCGGCUCAACCGAGGAACUGCGCUUCAAACCGCUUUGCUAGAGGGAGAUAGGGGUAAGCGGAACAGAUGGUGGAGCGGUGAAAUGCAUUGAUAUCAUCUGGAACACCGGUGGCGAAAGCGGCUUACUGGGUCUUUUCUGACGCUGAGGAACGAAAGCUAGGGUAGCGAACGGGAUUAGAUACCCUUGUAGUC
rnacentral:rRNA from 1 species